rnacentral:rRNA from 1 species
UACGUAGGGUGCAAGCGUUAAUCGGAAUUACUGGGCGUAAAGCGCACGUAGGCGGCCUGUUAAGUCGGGUGUGAAAUCCCUCGGCUUAACCGAGGAACUGCCCUCCAAACUGCUUGGCUUGAGUCCGGGAGAGGUGAGUGGAAUUCCCAGUGUAGCGGUGAAAUGCGUAGAUAUUGGGAGGAACACCAGUGGCGAAGGCGGCUCACUGGACCGGAACUGACGCUGAGGCGCGAAAGCGUGGGGAGCAAACGGG